rnacentral:rRNA from 1 species
AUUGAACGCUGGCGGCAGGCUUAACACAUGCAAGUCGAGCGGGGUGAUGGUGCUUGCACUAUCACUUAGCGGCGGACGGGUGAGUAAUGCUUAGGAAUCUGCCUAUUAGUGGGGGACAACAUCUCGAAAGGGAUGCUAAUACCGCAUACGUCCUACGAGAGAAAGCAGGGGAUCACUUGUGACCUUGCGCUAAUAGAUGAGCCUAAGUCGGAUUAGCUAGUUGGUGGGGUAAAGGCCUACCAAGGCGACGAUCUGUAGCGGGUCUGAGAGGAUGAUCCGCCACACUGGGACUGAGACACGGCCCAGACUCCUACGGGAGGCAGCAGUGGGGAAUAUUGGACGAUGGGGGGAACCCUGAUCCAGCCAUGCCGCGUGUGUGAAGAAGGCCUUAUGGUUGUAAAGCACUUUAAGCGAGGAGGAGGCUCUUUUGGUUAAUACCCAAGAUGAGUGGACGUUACUCGCAGAAUAAGCACCGGCUAACUCUGUGCCAGCAGCCGCCGUAA